CGGGGCGUAGCUCAGCUGGCUUAGAGCACCUGCUUUGGGAGCAGGGGGUCGCGUGUUCAAAUCACGCCGCCCCGACCA
rnacentral:tRNA from 2 species